GGUUAGAUGGCCGAGCGGUCUAAGGCGCCACGUUAAGGAGAUUUAAACCCUUAAUUCUAUCAAACAUUGAUUCCGUGGUCCGAAAGGGCGUGGGUUCGAAUCCCACUCUAAUCA